AUGGUGAAGGCGCCUCUCCACUCCUCGUCCUCGGCCGCCGCCGCCGCGGCCACCUUCUCGCUGGUCGCCAAGAAGGCGCGGCUCUCGCCCUUCAUCCUGCUGUCGCUGCUCUUCAUGCUCCUCUUCUCCUUCCUCUACGGGGAAGAGCUCGCGGCGCUCAUCGGCCGGCGAGCUAGUCGAAACUGGGCACACCUCGACGUCAGCGUCAACCGCGAGCAUCAGCAGCCGCCCGGUGGAUCGGGGGUGGAGGAUGGGUGGCAGAGGAAGAAGAAGAGGUGGCAGGGGAAGCUGGCGUUCGCGGUGAAUGACGAGGACGAGGACGAGGAGUGCGACGUGUUCUCGGGGAGCUGGGUGCGGGACGAGGAGGCGCACCCGCUGUACCGGGAGGAGGAGUGCCCCUACAUCCAGCCGCAGCUCACCUGCCAGGCGCAGGGCCGCCCCGACAGGGGCUACCAGUCCUGGCGAUGGCAGCCGCACGACUGCACCCUCCCCGCGUUCAACCCGACGCAGAUGCUGGAGACGCUGCGGGGCAAGCGGAUGAUGUUCGUGGGCGACUCGCUGAACCGCGGGCAGUUCACGUCCAUGGUGUGCCUCCUCCAGUCCGCCAUCCCGUCGCCGGAGGCCAAGUCCUUCGAGAUGUCCCCCGACCAGCAGCACACCGUGUUCACCGCCAGGGAGUACAACGCGACGGUGGAGUUCUACUGGGCGCCCUUCCUGCUGCAGUCCAACGCGGACGACGCCGUGGUGCACAAGAUCUCCGACCGCAUGGUGCGCAACGGCUCCAUCGCCCACCACGGCCGCCACUGGGAGGGCGCCGACGUCCUGGUCUUCAACACCUACCUCUGGUGGUGCACCGGCCUGCGCUUCAGGGUCGUGAACGGGCCGAUCGCGGGGGCCAGGGAGGAGGACGCGGCGUGGGUGUCGACCGAGGAGGCCUACGGCAUGGCGUUCCGCGACAUGCUGCAGUGGGUGAGGGACAACAUGGACUUCAACACCACCAGGGUCUUCUUCACCAGCAUGUCGCCCACCCACGGCAAGAGCCAGGACUGGGGGGGCGCGGCGGGGGGCAACUGCUACAACGAGACGGCGAUGAUCGAGGACGCCGGGUACUGGGGCACGGACGGGCGGCGGAGCGUGAUGCGGGUGAUCGGGGAGAUCCUCGACGGCGACGGUGCCGACGUGCCGCUCACCUUCCUCAACGUCACGCAGCUUUCCAUGUACCGCAAGGACGCGCACACCUCCAUCUACAAGAAGCAGUGGAACCCGCUGACGCCGGAGCAGGUCGCCGACCCCAGGACCUACGCCGACUGCGUCCACUGGUGCCUCCCGGGGCUCCAGGACACGUGGAACGAACUCCUCUACUCCAAGCUCUUCUACCCUUGA
rnacentral:rRNA from 1 species